rnacentral:rRNA from 1 species
CUGGCGGCAUGCCCUUACACAUGCAAGUCGAACGGCAGCACGGGGGGCAACCUUGGUGGCGAGUGGCGAACGGGUGAGUAAUAUAUCGGAACGUGCCCUAGAGUGGGGGAUAACUAGUCGAAAGACUAGCUAAUACCGCAUACGAUCUACGGAUGAAAGUGGGGGAUCGCAAGACCUCAUGCUCAUGGAGCGGCCGAUAUCUGAUUAGCUAGUUGGUAGGGUAAAAGCCUACCAAGGCAUCGAUCAGUAGCUGGUCUGAGAGGACGACCAGCCACACUGGGACUGAGACACGGUCCAGACUCCUACGGGAGGCAGCAGUGGGGAAUUUUGGACAAUGGGGGCAACCCUGAUCCAGCAAUGCCGCGUGAGUGAAGAAGGCCUUCGGGUUGUAAAGCUCUUUUGUCAGGGAAGAAACGGGAUUGGAUAAUACCUAGUCCUAAUGACGGUACCUGAAGAAUAAGCACCGGCUAACUACGUGCCAGCAGCCGCGGUAAUACGUAGGGUGCAAGCGUUAAUCGGAAUUACUGGGCGUAAAGCGUGCGCAGGCGGUUUUAUAAGUUUGUCGUGAAAGCCCCGGGCUCAACCUGGGAAUGGCGAUGAAGACUGUAAGGCUAGAGUGUGUCAGAGGGGGGUAGAAUUCCACGUGUAGCAGUGAAAUGCGUAGAUAUGUGGAGGAACACCGAUGGCGAAGGCAGCCCCCUGGGAUAACACUGACGCUCAUGCACGAAAGCGUGGGGAGC